rnacentral:lncRNA from 1 species
UGGUCUGGCUGCUGCAGUGGACAGAGGUGGUGCAGGCGGUGACGGCGUGCAUGAGAGAAGGCAGAGGCAUGGCCGGGAGGGGUGACAUGGUGGUAGGUGGCGGCGGCACCGAUAGAGAGGAGGGAACGGGGAGGAACCGCGGAGAAAGAUGAUGACGUCACGGUGAUGUCAUCACGGUGUGGGUUGGUGGGCUAGGUUGGCUGCUGUGUUUGUGAGAGGAAGGGAAGGCGGGCCGGGCUGAAAGGUUGGAUGGGCUGGAAGUAAGGUUGUUGGCCCCAGAGGAAUUUCAGGAGGUUUCUAAUUAUUUGAGAUAAGGUUUUGGUUUCAAAUUUAAAAUGGUUUUCAAAUUUGAGAAGGUUUUGAGACAAAGGUGUGGACGGGACUUUUAGAUGGAGUGCUUUGGGAGUAGAAUCCUACAGUUAGCUCACACAUAUGCAUAUGAAAUCAUGAAAAUUAUAUUUUGGUGCAUUAAAUUUAAAUGCAUGGCUCUAGGGUUUAAGUUGCUAUAUAAAUUCUAAGAAAAAAAAUUUUGAGGUCCAUAUUUUAAAUGCAUGGAAAAUUGGGAUGUUACAAAGAGAGAGAGAGGAGAUGCCUAGUUAGCGUGACAUGUCAUCGCUUGGCGUUGACGUGAAGGGAUAUGGACCUGCGGUGAACAUCUUAUGCUUAUCAUGCUCAUGGGAAAGUUGAUUUGCUCCACUACAACUUUUAUGUAGGGCCAAAAUCAGUGUUUAGUCAAAAGGAUUUUAAAUGGUCACUAAACAUUGCUAAAAAGAUAUCGCUCAAGGCUUAAAAAUUUUCAAACACAUAUGUAGAAGUGUAGGAAUUUAAGUAUUUAAACUUGAACAUGAGUCAGAUAUGGUUUAUUUGACAUAUAGAACUAUAUUUGAGCAUAAUUUCAUAUUUAGGCGUCUUAUUAACAUUUAGUUGCCAAAAAGAACAUGAACCUCCAUAAUUUGCAUUUUAAAAAGAUAAAC